UGUUUUUUAGAUUAUGUUUGUGCAUUCUAUAUAUAGCCGUCCCCAGUGAGCUGUUUCUGUCCGUUGUUUGUUGACAAUGGUGUCAUGAGAGCAGGGGUUACGGGGUGUGUGCGGUUGGGUGUGAAGUCACACACUCCGUCUGAGCGGCUCACACUGAAUCACAGCUGCUGUCUGGACACGUUCACCGUACCUCACACCUUCCACAGCUGAUAUGUCACUCCUGGCCUUCGAUCAAGUGGCUAAUAGAUCUCUCAGAUCAUCAAUCUACAUCUCGAUGAGGCCUAACGAUCUGUGUGACUGACUUUCUCCGGUGGAACAUAAAAGAGGACUUUCGAAAGUCAGGAGGACAGCAUUGGCUUUCAUCGUAUUUAGCUGAAAGAAUUGGACAGGUCGACUCGAGCAGUGCUGUUGUUAUCUAGCGUCUGCACAUGUCUGCAUGUGGACAAAACCCAUCAGUGUAACCACUGGAGCGGCAGCCAUCUUAUCGUGAACAGAACCGGCGCCGCUAGAGCUUCUUCUUUCCCCGUUUCUGCACUGGACCCCAGCGGUCGCGUCAAACGGAUAAGACCGAAACGUCUCGGCUCUUGACACCUCUCUUAAGGUCUGAGAUUACAGGACUGGGAAUUAGACAUCAUCCUUCGGAGGAGACUAUCAGCCCCCGACACACAGUACAUGUUCAGCAAGGCGUGAUAAUCUCUCUGCGUGUGUUAACAUGACAUGAAAGCAAUUGUGCUUUAUUCGUCUCUGAUAAAUCCUUAUUAAUCUUAAUCUUAGUUCAAAAUCCAAAAAAGUUCACUGUGCUCCAUCUUCUGUCAGAGAAUUCCUUAUAGGCCUGGCUGGACUUUAAUUGUGGUAAAACGUGUUGUAAUGUGAAUUACAAUGUGAAUUAUUGACAAAAGGCAAGGACGGAAUGCAGAAGGUUUGUGAAUGACAUGCAUUCAAAUUUUGAGGAAACGAGCAGAACACAUGCAAAUAUUCUGUUUGUGUUAAAUAUUGCAUUUAUAUACAUUACUGUAUAGUGAUGUGGAAGCUAUUAACUAUG